rnacentral:lncRNA from 1 species
AUUACAGCUGUUCUGGAUAUCUGCCUACAUCGUUUUGGAACAAUAUUAUGGCUGCGGACGCAAAAAAAUAUGAAAAUUGUUUGGUAAGAAAAGUCUUAAAAUCUUAUUAAUAAGGAAAACAUGUAAUGCUUUUCAAAAUAGGUUUGUGAGAAAAAACGAUCUGACAAAACUGUAUAUGAUAUUCAAAUUUGAAUUUUGAAAAAAAAUGCAAAACCUACGCACUUUAGGUAUUUUUAUGGCAUUGAUAAAUUAUUUCGGAGACCAUAAUUGUGUCACCCUGACGGAGGUCCGGUGACAUAUUGUUAUUGUACGAUUCUUUUUUUUUCUUUAUUAUUCCACACUUUUUUGUCCAGACUAUUUCUCGGAAUUGCAUGGACCAAUGAUGAUGGAAGUAUACCAUAAUGUUAACCCCCAUGUGCAGAUGUGCAAUCGGGGGUUGGCAUUUCCAAGAUGGCUGUCGUUGUCAUGGAAACAGAAAUAAUGUGAAAAAUCGGAAAGUGUUCCAAAAUGAAUAAAACUUUGUGGAAAUGUUACUUGGCAUGCAAAGACUUGAAAUCCAUCUUUGGAAUUUCCAAAAUGGCGGCCGUUGCCAUAGAAACAGUACAAACAUCCAAAUUUUCAAAAUGCUUUAAAUUUUCGGAAAAUUCGCAAAAUGAUGUAUUGUAAAGUGAAUUAAGUUAAUUCAAUGUUAAAAGUUUCGAAAUGUCUGCCACUUAGUGGCAAUUGGCGGACCAGGGUGACAUCCGCUAUUGCUUGCAAUGGCAAUUCUAGUUUUAUCUUGGAUACCCAUCCCAUGAGUUAGUUUAAACUAUACUGGUUGGGAGAGUCAUAAAAAGUUUUAAAAAAAGUAUCGACCUCCGAGGUAAAUUCAAAACGGAAAGCCCGAAUUCAAAUUGGAAAAUUAAAAGGCGAAAUACAUGAUGGAUAACAGUUGUCGUAUUCCUGACUUGGCACAUUGGUAAAGGCAUUUUUUUAUGUAGCAAUUAGUGAAUUAAAUAUGGUUAUUGUCACGUCCAAUGAGACAUUCUUUUGAUAUGUUUUAGUUAUAAAUUAAUAGUUGUACUAGGGUCUGUUUGGUUCGGUGGUAAAUUGCAUUCCUUAAGUUUCACAAUAUCUUCAGAUUGACCUUAGAUGCAAAAUUCUUAACGAUACACUGUAUAUUUUCCUUGUGACUGAAAUAUGCAUUAACCAUUUUAAGCUGGUUUUUUUUAAAGGGACUGGGUUUUUUUCUUGACAAUUAAAGAACAAUGAGGGCAUGACAAGAAAUAAAUGUUUGUUUGUUGUUGUUUCAUCGGAAAUUAUCCAUGAAUACCAUGUUUGGCUUGUAAUCAUAAGCUUAAACAUGCAUGUUUACAGGGAUUUGAAUGUUUACAUUUAUAUCAUAUGAAUAUUUAUAUUUUCCUGCCAGGUAAUAAAUGGCUUUGAAAUAUAAUGUUUAUAUGAGAUAGAUGGGAUAUAUCAUAAAUGGAAAGUAAAAUAACAACAAUAGUAAACUUUGAAAACUUUGAAAAUUUCAAAACAGAAACUAUCAACUAUCUUUCAGUAACUGCACGUAUGACACUAUAUGUCUUUCUGUUUUGUUAUUAUUUUAUGUGCCUUAUGUCGAGUGUAUCAAGCGUUUAUGAACUCAAGUUUAGAGUUAGUUUAUAUGUGUUGUUACAUUAUUGUCUAAGAUUAGGAGAACAUUGAGCACUCGAAAACAUGGCUAACCCCGCCAUAUACUUUAUCUGUCUGUCUGUCCAAAGUAAGAAAUCUGUGGUUGUUGUUGGUUAAUGUAUGCAUAACGUUUCUUUCUUUUAAUGCCAUAAGUCUGGUAUGUGGUAUUUUGCAUUUAUGUUUUUGUUAACUGCUUUAAAGCUUAGCGUUUUCUGUCCGUUUGUUAUAUACUGAGUGGUAUACCUAGGUUUCGAUCACUGUUGAAGGCUAUGCAAUAUUUAUUUGUGCUUACAUCAACGUUGGUUGAUCUUUAGCGGAUGUAGGACUGAUUAAUUACGAUGGCAAAUAUACCAGCCUUAUAAUUUGUAUCGCCUGCCGCGUUUUUCGUCUAAACAAGACUUAUUAGUGGCGCUCGAAUCAAAAUCGUGAGACGGCCAAUUUACUUUUAAACUGAAGUACAUGACCACCAAAAUUACCGAAAAUUCGUUACGUUAGAAAUAAUGCAACCUUUGUUUGUCUAGAGUAACAAUCUUGGUAUUUCGUGUAAUUUCACUUUGAUGCAUUCAUAUUUCUAUAUUAUUGUUUUAUAUUUUAAUGCUUGGGUUUGAUUGUUGAAAUCUGUGUUUUGUUUUGAAUUGUGCAUGAUCAAUAUAACCUUAUUUCGCCAAAUUCACUAAAUGCAUUCGAAACCAUAGAUUCAUUCAAAUAGUUUUAAAAAAAAGAAACAAUCGAAUUACAUUUUGUUCAUGUUAUUGCUAAUUCUGUGGUUAUAUUCUAAUAGGGAGUUCUGCAGGUUAUGGGUUUCAUUUUGGAACAACUAACCUUGCUUGUUUUGGUAGACGAAAGAGGUCCCCUAGUAGAGAAAUUGCCAGACUAGCCCACCGGUAUCUAUAUUAUCGUGGAUAUUACUAUGAAUGGACUGCUAGAAGUAUAAAACUAUUCCAUACAUCAAAACAGGAUGGAAUUGCUUUAAUUAAUAGCUCCCCAGCUAAGUCAGAUUCUUGUCAACAUGGUACUGAAUCAAACGCAGCAGGAUAUGGAGUACUCAGUACAAAAUGUGUCAAUGGGUGUGCAAGAUAUUUCCAGGCAGCCUAUUACUACGUAUGGUCGAUCAACAACUGUCACCAUUUUGCUAACUGGCUUGCAGAUAUAUUGUGCAAACAUUCAAGCUGUCCAAAAGAUUGUCAACAAUAUACGUGAAUAUAUUUUAUGCAUUUGACAAUCUAGUAGUAAUACCUGAAUACAAUGUUAAGUAUUCUAAAUAUUAAAAGACUAAACUAGUUUUUAAAAAAAUCUUUUCUUUUUGAAAGGUACUUUUUUCUUUUUCGAAUGUUUAUUACUAUGUCAUGGUCACUAUGUUUUUAUUUUGAAUCAAUUCCGCUGAUCUGUUCUUUCAUUGAAAGGUAGUAUACUA